rnacentral:rRNA from 1 species
CCUACGGGAGGCAGCAGCCAGGAAUCUUGCACAAUGGGCGAAAGCCUGAUGCAGCAACACCGUGUGGGCGAGGAAGGCCUUCGGGUCGUAAAGCCCUGUUGUUGGGGACGAAGGGCGAAGGGUUAAUAGCCCUUAGCCUGACUGUACCCUUCGAGGAAGCCCCGGCUAACUACGUGCCAGCAGCCGCGGUAAUACGUAGGGGGCGAGCGUUGUCCGGAAUUAUUGGGCGUAAAGAGCGUGUAGGCGGCCUGGUAAGUCUGCUGUGAAACCCUGGGGCUCAACCCCGGGCGUGCAGUGGAUACUGCCAGGCUAGAGGGUGGUAGAGGCGAGUGGAAUUCCCGGUGUAGCGGUGAAAUGCGCAGAUAUCGGGAGGAACACCAGUAGCGAAGGCGGCUCGCUGGGCCAUUCCUGACGCUGAGACGCGAAAGCGUGGGGAGCAA